CAUAUUGUCUCUCUCAUUCACGGUUGCACACCACUCCAUCUCCUCCGUUGACUGUUGCCAGUUCAACUACGUUGCCUCUCCAGAUCAACCAUCGCCACUUCCUGUCGAGUCCAAUUGCGUCGCGGCUUCCUCUCGAGUCCAACUGCGUCGCGGCUUCCUCUCCCAUUCACUGUUGCGAUUUUCAUUUCUCUGGUAGCUAAGCCAUUGUUUCUUCCCUCUUCAUUUCCGUUUAUUGCUCGUCGUUCUUUAUGGUUUCUCUCUAACACUCAUUGUUCUCCCCUUUUGUAAUUUUGACAUCUCACAUUCUAGGGUUUAUCUCUUCUGCAUCUACAUUGUUUCUAAUCUCUUCACAAUUGAUCGGUUCAAUCAAGACUUUGCUGGUUCAAUGUUCCCUACAACAAUCAUAUAUAGCUUUCAAGGGAAGUAAGAAACUUCUUUGCAUCAUUUGGUGAUCAGAAAGAGGAGUACGAUUUUUGAAGUUGUUGUGCUUCAACUAUUACAACACCUGUUGUGGAUUCUAUAAUAUCAGAUUAAAGAUGAUGGACAAAGAGUGGACUAAACUUCCAAGAUUUAGUAAAGAGUAUGCUAAUGGUGUAGAGUUAUUUUUAGAUUUUGCAUACGCUAGCGGAAGAGCUCAAGGGAAUGAGAUCUUAUGCCCUUGUUCCAAGUGUAGAAAUCUUUAUUGGGCAACAAGAAAUGUGGUCUAUGAUCAUUUAAUAGCUAAAGGAUUUCUAAAAGGAUACAACACUUGGGUAAACCAUGGGGAGUCAAUACAAUCAUUGCCUACUCCAAGUGAUGACGACAUGGAAGAUAAUAUAGAUGGAUUAUUGCAUGACACAUUUAGAAAUGUGGUAGAAGGAAGUGGGGACAACACUGGUCCUAAUGAGGAAGCAAAAAAGUUCUACAAGUUGAUUAAUGAAGCAAAACAAGAGUUAUAUCCUGGAUGCCAAAGUUUCUCCAGUCUUUCUUUCAUAAUCCGAAUGUAUCUAUUGAAAUGUCUUCAUGGGUGGAGCAAUGCCUCAUUU